AACGAACGCUGGCGGCAGGCCUAAUACAUGCAAGUCGAGCGCGCCCUUCGGGGUGAGCGGCGGACGGGUGAGUAACGCGUGGGAAUAUGCCCUUCUCUAAGGAAUAGCCUCUGGAAACGGAGAGUAAUACCUUAUACGCCCUUCAGGGGAAAGAUUUAUCGGAGAAGGAUUAGCCCGCGUUAGAUUAGGUAGUUGGUGGGGUAAUGGCCUACCAAGCCUACGAUCUAUAGCUGGUUUGAGAGGAUGAUCAGCCACACUGGGACUGAGACACGGCCCAGACUCCUACGGGAGGCAGCAGUAGGGAAUCUUAGACAAUGGGGGCAACCCUGAUCUAGCCAUGCCGCGUGUGUGAUGAAGGCCCUAGGGUCGUAAAGCACUUUCGCCAGAGAUGAUAAUGACAGUAUCUGGUAAAGAAACCCCGGCUAACUCCGUGCCAGCAGCCGCGGUAAUACGGAGGGGGUUAGCGUUGUUCGGAAUUACUGGGCGUAAAGCGCACGUAGGCGGAUUAAUAAGUUAGAGGUGAAAUCCCAGGGCUCAACCCUGGAACUGCCUUUAAUACUGCUAGUCUUGAGUUCGAGAAAGGUAAGUGGAAUUCCGAGUGUAGAGGUAAAAUUCGUA
rnacentral:rRNA from 1 species